CCUACGGGUGGCAGCAGUGGGGAAUAUUGCACAAUGGGCGGAACCCUGAUGCAGCGACGCCGCGUGGGUGAAGGAGUAUUUCGGUACGUAAAGCCCUAUCAGCAGGGAAGAACAAUGACGGUACCAAACUAAGAAGCACCGGCUAAAUACGUGCCAGCAGCAGCGGUAAAACGUAGGGUGCAAGCGUUAUCCGGAUGUACUGGGUGUAAAGGGAGCGCAGGCGGCGCGUUAAGCCUGGUGUGAAAGCCCGCGGCCCAACCGGGGGACUGCAUUGGGAACUGGCGAGCUGGAGUGCCGGAGGGGAAGGCGGAAUUCCUAGUGUAGCGGUGAAAUUCGUAGAUAUUAGGAGGAACAUCAGUGGCGAAGGCGGCCUACUGGACGGUAACUGACGCUGAGGAGCGAAAGCGUGGGGAGCAAACAGGAUUAGAUACCCGUGUAGUC
rnacentral:rRNA from 1 species